rnacentral:rRNA from 1 species
AUGUCGGAAUUUGCACCUAUUUGUAUCUAUUUAGUGAUCUCCGUAGUUUCUUUGAUUCCACUCGGUGUUCCUUUUCCAUUUGCUUCCAAUAGUUCGACCUAUCCAGAAAAAUUGUCAGCCAACAAAUGUGGUUCCGAUCCCUCCGGUGAUGCCAGAAGUCGUUUCGAUAUAUGAUUUUAUCCGGUUCCUAUUUUAUUUAUUAUCCCUGAUCCGAAAGUCACCUUUUCUUUUCCUUGGCAGUACCCCCUAACAAGAUUGAUCUGUUUGGAUCUUGGUCCAUGA